GACGUAGGGCGCGAGCGUUGUCCGGAUUUAUUGGGCGUAAAGAGCUCGUAGGCGGUUUGUCGCGUCUGCUGUGAAAAUCCAGGGCUUAACCCUGGACCUGCAGUGGGUACGGGCAGACUGGAGUGCGGUAGGGGAGAUCGGAAUUCCCGGUGUAGCGGUGAAAUGCGCAGAUAUCAGGAGGAACACCGGUGGCGAAGGCGGAUCUCUGGGCCGUAACUGACGCUGAGGAGCGAAAGCAUGGGGAGCGAACAGG
rnacentral:rRNA from 1 species